UCCCGUUGAUCCCGCGGGAGCUUUCUGCUAUUGGAAUUCGGCUUAGCCAUGCAAGUCAGGGGUUUCUCGCAAGAGAAGCACCGGCGUAAGGCUCAGUAACACGUCGAUAAUCUGCCCUUUGGUUCAGGAUACCCUCGCGAAAGUGCGGUUAACCCUGAAUAUAAGAAAGGUACUGGAACGUCCUUUCUUUCAAACGAAAGGCCAAAGGAUGAGUCGGCGGCUGAUUAGGUAGUUGGUGAGGUAAUGGCUCACCAAGCCUUGGAUCAGUAAGGGGGAUGAGAGUCCUUACCCUGAGAAGGGCACUUAGACACUGGCCCUAGCCCUAAGGGGUGCAGCAGGCGCGAAAACUUUACAAUGCGCGAAAGCGUGAUAAGGGAAUUCCAAGUGCUUGGCCUUCGGGUCAAGCUUUUGUCGAGUCUAAGAAUCUCGGCGAAUAAGGGGUGGGUAAGACGGGUGCCAGCCGCCGCGGUAACACCUGCGCCCCAAGUGGAGAGCACAUUUAUUGGGUCUAAAGCGUUCGUAGCCGGAUGAUCAAAUCUCUUGUGAAAUCGUUGCGCUUAACGUAACGACGUGCAGGAGAGACUGUUUGUCUUGAGACCGGGAAGAGGUAGGGGUACGCGAGGGGAAGCGGUUAAAUGUGAUAAUCCUUCGCGGACCACCAGUGGUGGAGACGCCUAUCUAGAACGGGUCUGACGGUGAGGGACGAAGGCCAGGGGAGCAAAACGGAUUAGAUACCCGAGUAGUCCUGGCAGUAAACUCUGCGAGCUGUGUGUUGCAUCAUCUUAGAGAUGAUGCAGUGCCUAAGCGAAGGCGUUAAGCUCGCCACCUGGGAAGUACGGCCGCAAGACUGAAACUUAAAGGAAUUGGCGGGGGCUCACUACAAGGGGGGAAGAGUGGGGUGCAAUUGGAAUCCACGCCGGAAAUCUCACCAGGAGCGACGGCAGUAUGAAGGUCAGAUUUAAGGUUUUACCUGACGAGCCGAGAGGUGGUGCAUGGCCGACGUCAGCUCGUGCCGUGAGGUGUCACGUUAAGUCGUGCAACGAGCAAGACCCACAUCCACUUUUGCCAGCAGGGCUUACGAGCCGACUGGGGACAAUGUGGAGACUGCCUGCGUAAGCAGGAGGAAGGCGUGGGCAACGUUAGGUCCGUAUGCCCCGAAUCUCCUGGGCUACACGCGCUCUGCAAUGGUACGGACAAUGGGACGCAACUCCGAAAGGAGAAGCAAAUCCUCGAAACCGUAUCUUAGUCCGAAUUGAGG
rnacentral:rRNA from 1 species